GCCCCUGUGGCGGAACGGUAGACGCAGGCGACUCAAAAUCGCUCGCCCGAAAGGGUGUGGGAGUUCGAAUCUCCCCGGGGGCACCA
rnacentral:tRNA from 1 species